rnacentral:rRNA from 1 species
CGGCGAACGGGUGAGUAACGCGUGGAUUAUCUGCCCUGAGGUGGGGGAUAACCAGGGGAAACUCUGGCUAAUACCGCAUAUGACCGUGAGGUCAAAGGGGGGUCGCAAGAUCUCUCGCCAUAGGAGGAGUCCGCGUACGAUUAGCUAGUUGGUAGGGUAAUGGCCUACCAAGGCGACGAUCGUUAGCCGGCCUGAGAGGGUGAUCGGCCACACUGGAACUGAGACACGGUCCAG